GUUUGUGUGCGUGUUUUUUUAAGUGUUUCGCCCAGCUCCUCCUUCCCCUACUACAAACAGCAAACACAUGAGUGAGCUAAUCAGCUCUUAAACUGAAAAACCUUUCGAUACAGGCGAGUGAUAGAAGAUAAAGCUGAGGGGCGGCAGGAGGGUCAAAUAAAAGUUGCUCCGCAGUUUGCUCAUCCAAGCCCCGCAGCGACCGCAGGGGGGUGAGGUUCCCAAAGCCGCUUUCACACCUUCGAUAAUGCACUAGCAAAGAGAAGCCCGGAGAGGCUGAAGUUUCCACGGAGGGCACCGUCGGGGAGACGCAGCCCGGGAGGACAGAAAGGUUGGGCUCGCUACCUCUGCACACGGGCGAGCCGGGGCUCCGUCGCUCAGGAAAAGAAGAUGUCCUUAAUAAGCAGAUUUGACCGAGAACUCUUACUUCAAUGGUGGAAAAUUUCUGGGAAAGAGGAGGAAGAGGCUAAAAAUAUUUUAAAGUCCUCUAGGUGAGAGGACAGAUGUUUCGACAAACCAUGAUCAGAUGUGAUGCUCUGGGAUCAACUAAUUAAGAGAUCUUAAACUUAAAUAAUCCAAAGCAGAGUUUCCAUUAGCAGCACUGGGAAAAGCUUAGCAUUUAGGAAGUCACUCCUGCCUGCCAUACCCUGAUUUUCAGCAGAUCACCUGUUCUCCUGAUACCUAGGCACCUAUUUGCAUAGCAAGAGUGGAAGUUACUAUUUAUCCUCAGCGGUGUACAUAAUCACAUUGACUUAUUCGGUUUUACCCCAAAAGGACUCAUUGAGUUUCACUUACCUCCAAAGUCUCAUUGCCUUCGAUGUCUGAAGUUUUGCCUCUUGCUGCCACUCUUUGCUCAUGAGGUGUAUCUCCUAUGAAGCAAAAGAAAAAAAUAAA